CGUUCCAGGAUAUCUUCGAGCUGUUCAGCUCCAGCCAGACGGACACCGUGGGCGUGCACAGCCUGCGAGCCGCCCUGCGAGCUGCCGGUAUCCACCUGAGCCCCUGGGAGAUACGCGAGGCCCUGCGGCAGGCAGACCUGGACGGUGACGGAGCUGUAGGCUUCGAAGACUUCCUGGGUGUCUUCACCAACAGCCACCGCCUCGCUCAGUACUUGGGUGAAUGGUGGGGCUGGUGGCGCGGAUGGAUAGGCCCAACCCAGGGAAGGCUCCUCCUCACCCUUCCCCGUGUUCUUGGACACCAGGCCAAGUGAAAGACAUCCAGGUCUGGGACCCCCAAGGCCUGCAGACCCUCUUCCUGGAGACGCUGUGCAAGCUGACGAGGCUGGGCUUUGUGCCCUACAAGUCAGUGCGGGAGGUGAUAAGCUAUUACUCCAAGAACCAGCAGGCUCUGCCACUGACCCUCGGCUGCAGGGGCAGGUCGAGGGACCAAGGCUGCCCAGAGCGCAGGCACCGCGGCCUCAACUUCUAUUGCCAGGCCGAGCGGAUCAGCGGCCUUUCUCACGCCCAGCUGGCGAGCCUGCUGCAUGGACUACACAAAGCGGGUGCACCCCUUGGUGGGGCUGGGGGCACCCGCGCGAGUGGGGGCUCUCCCUCAGGCCCCAUUCUUAGGACUGGCCCCUCCUUUCUCUCUUACUGGCUUCCCCACCCCAGGUUCCUACAGCCCCUACUCUCAGAUACCUAAGUUGGCUCCGAGCUCCGAAGUGCGAUUUCCCAAGUGGUACACCUCCGGCCACCCCUGGCCCAGGACUCACCAGAGGCAGCGCGACCCAGCUCCCGCAGGGUUCUCGAACCAGCCAGUAGAGGAGACGCGCCGCUGGAAGCUGGCCCCCUCCCCGCCAACGCUAGUGCAAAAGCAGC